CAACGCGUGAGGAAUCUGCCUCAAAGAGGGGGACAACAGUUGGAAACGACUGCUAAUACCGCAUAAGCCCACGGCUCGGCAUCGAGCAGAGGGAAAAGGAGUGAUCCGCUUUGAGAUGGCCUCGCGUCCGAUUAGCUAGUUGGUGAGGUAACGGCCCACCAAGGCAACGAUCGGUAGCCGGACUGAGAGGUUGAACGGCCACAUUGGGACUGAGACACGGCCCAG
rnacentral:rRNA from 1 species